UACGGGGGGGGCAAGCGUUGUUCGGAAUUACUGGGCGUAAAGGGCGCGUAGGCGGCCUUCUAAGUCGGACGUGAAAUCCCUCGGCUUAACCGAGGAACUGCGUCCGAUACUGAAAGGCUUGAAUCCGGGAGAGGGAUGUGGAAUUCCAGGUGUAGCGGUGAAAUGCGUAGAUAUCUGGAGGAACACCGGUGGCGAAGGCGGCAUCCUGGACCGGCAUUGACGCUGAGGAGCGAAAGCCAGGGGAGCAAACGGG
rnacentral:rRNA from 1 species